rnacentral:rRNA from 1 species
UGGGGAAUCUUGCGCAAUGGGCGAAAGCCUGACGCAGCGACGCCGCGUGGGGGAUGAAGGCCUUCGGGUUGUAAACCCCUUUCGACAGGGAAGAAGCGAAAGUGACGGUACCUGUAGAAGAAGUCCCGGCUAACUACGUGCCAGCAGCCGCGGUAAGACGUAGGGGACGAGCGUUGUCCGGAUUUAUUGGGCGUAAAGCGCGCGCAGGCGGCUUGGUAAGUCGGGUGUGAAAAUCCGAGGCUCAACCUCGGACGUGCACCUGAAACUGCCAGGCUAGAGGUAGGUAGGGGAGAUCGGAAUUCCUGGUGUAGCGGUGAAAUGCGCAGAUAUCAGGAGGAACACCGGUGGCGAAGGCGGAUCUCUGGGCCUUACCUGACGCUCAGGCGCGAAAGCUAGGGGAGCGAACAGGAUUAGAUACCCCCGUAGUCC